rnacentral:rRNA from 1 species
UGAAAGCAGGAGCUUGCUUUUGCUGGAUUAGUGGCGAACGGGUGAGUAACACGUGAGUAACCUGCCCUUGACUCUGGGAUAAGCGUUGGAAACGACGUCUAAUACCGGAUACGAGCUAGGACCGCAUGGUCACUAGUUGGAAAGAAUUUCGGUCAAGGAUGGACUCGCGGCCUAUCAGCUAGUUGGUGAGGUAACGGCCCACCAAGGCGACGACGGGUAGCCGGCCUGAGAGGGUGACCGGCCACACUGGGACUGAGACACGGCCCAGACUCCUACGGGAGGCAGCAGUGGGGAAUAUUGCACAAUGGGCGCAAGCCUGAUGCAGCAACGCCGCGUGGGGGACGACGGCCUUCGGGUUGUAAACCUCUUUUGGCAGGGAAGAAGCGAAAGUGACGGUACCUGCAGAAAAAGCACCGGCUAACUACGUGCCAGCAGCCGCGGUAAUACGUAGGGUGCAAGCGUUGUCCGGAAUUAUUGG